GCAAGUCGAACGAGAACGGACUUUAGUUUACUAAAGUUGUCAGCUAAGUGGCGCACGGGUGAGUAAUAUAUAGGUAACGUGCCUUCAAGAGGGGGAUAACAGAUGGAAACGUCUGCUAAUACCCUAUAUGCCUUUAUUCCAUAAGGAAGCAAGGGAAAUAUUUAUAGCUCUAGGAUCGGCCUGUACGGUAUCAGCUAGUUGGUGAGGUAAUGGCUCACCAAGGCAAUGACGCCUAACUGGUUUGAGAGGAUGAUC
rnacentral:rRNA from 1 species